GUGGGGAAUCUUCCGCAAUGGACGAAAGUCUGACGGAGCAACGCCGCGUGAGUGAAGAAGGUUUUCGGAUCGUAAAGCUCUUUCGUCAGGGACGAACGUAUUUCUUGUAAAUAAUGAGAGAUAGUGACGGUACCUGAAUAAGAAGCCACGGCUAACUACGUGCCAGCAGCCGCGGUAAUACGUAGGUGGCAAGCGUUGUCCGGAAUUAUUGGGCGUAAAGCGCGCGCAGGCGGGAUAUCAAGUCUGUCUUAAAAGUGCGAGGCUCAACCUCGUGAGGGGACAGAAACUGGUGUUCUUGAGUGUCGGAGAGGAAAGUGGAAUUCCAAGUGUAGCGGUGAAAUGCGUAGAGAUUUGGAAGAACACCAGUGGCGAAGGCGACUUUCUGGACGAUGUCUGACGCUGAGGCGCGAAAGCUAGGGGAGCGAACGGGAUUAGAAACCCUUGUAGUCC
rnacentral:rRNA from 1 species